UCGAACGAACUCUGGUAUUGAUUGGUGCUUGCAUCAUGAUUUACAUUUGAGUGAGUGGCGAACUGGUGAGUAACACGUGGGAAACCUGCCCAGAAGCGGGGGAUAACACCUGGAAACAGAUGCUAAUACCGCAUAACAACUUGGACCGCAUGGUCCGAGUUUGAAAGAUGGCUUCGGCUAUCACUUUUGGAUGGUCCCGCGGCGUAUUAGCUAGAUGGUGGGGUAACGGCUCACCAUGGCAAUGAUACGUAGCCGACCUGAGAGGGUAAUCGGCCACAUUGGGACUGAGACACGGCCCAAACUCCUACGGGAGGCAGCAGUAGGGAAUCUUCCACAAUGGACGAAAGUCUGAUGGAGCAACGCCGCGUGAGUGAAGAAGGGUUUCGGCUCGUAAAACUCUGUUGUUAAAGAAGAACAUAUCUGAGAGUAACUGUUCAGGUAUUGACGGUAUUUAACCAGAAAGCCACGGCUAACUACGUGCCAGCAGCCGCGGUAAUACGUAGGUGGCAAGCGUUGUCCGGAUUUAUUGGGCGUAAAGCGAGCGCAGGCGGUUUUUUAAGUCUGAUGUGAAAGCCUUCGGCUCAACCGAAGAAGUGCAUCGGAAACUGGGAAACUUGAGUGCAGAAGAGGACAGUGGAACUCCAUGUGUAGCGGUGAAAUGCGUAGAUAUAUGGAAGAACACCAGUGGCGAAGGCGGCUGUCUGGUCUGUAACUGACGCUGAGGCUCGAAAGUAUGGGUAGCAAACAGGAUUAGAUACCCUGGUAGUCCAUACCGUAAACGAUGAAUGCUAAGUGUUGGAGGGUUUCCGCCCUUCAGUGCUGCAGCUAACGCAUUAAGCAUUCCGCCUGGGGAGUACGGCCGCAAGGCUGAAACUCAAAGGAAUUGACGGGGGCCCGCACAAGCGGUGGAGCAUGUGGUUUAAUUCGAAGCUACGCGAAGAACCUUACCAGGUCUUGACAUACUAUGCAAAUCUAAGAGAUUAGACGUUCCCUUCGGGGACAUGGAUACAGGUGGUGCAUGGUUGUCGUCAGCUCGUGUCGUGAGAUGUUGGGUUAAGUCCCGCAACGAGCGCAACCCUUAUUAUCAGUUGCCAGCAUUAAGUUGGGCACUCUGGUGAGACUGCCGGUGACAAACCGGAGGAAGGUGGGGAUGACGUCAAAUCAUCAUGCCCCUUAUGACCUGGGCUACACACGUGCUACAAUGGAUGGUACAACGAGUUGCGAACUCGCGAGAGUAAGCUAAUCUCUUAAAGCCAUUCUCAGUUCGGAUUGUAGGCUGCAACUCGCCUACAUGAAGUCGGAAUCGCUAGUAAUCGCGGAUCAGCAUGCCGCGGUGAAUACGUUCCCGGGCCUUGUACACACCGCCCGUCACACCAUGAGAGUUUGUAACACCCAAAGUCGGUGGGGUAACCUUUUAGGAACCAGCC
rnacentral:rRNA from 2 species